UGGAAGAAGUCAAAGCAUUUUAUGAAAAACUCUUUAGCGCAGAGGGGGUAGGUGAAGAAGAGAAGGGGUUUUUACUGAACCAAAUAGAAGCAAGGGUAGGAGAGGAGAGGAAAAAACAAUGUGACCAGGAAAUAAGGGAGGAGGAGAUAGAGAAAGCCAUAGUUCAAUUAAAUAGAAGGAAAAGCCCGGGGAUAGAUGGUCUGGGGGGUGAAUUUUACAUUGUUUUUAAGGAUGUUUUAACCAGCGAGAGGAAAAAACAAUGUGACCAGGAAAUAAGGGAGGAGGAGAUAGAGAAAGCCAUAGUUCAAUUAAAUAGAAG
ensembl:lncRNA